rnacentral:rRNA from 1 species
AGAGUUUGAUCAUGGCUCAGAUUGAACGCUGGCGGCAUGCCUUACACAUGCAAGUAGAACGGUAACGCGGGGGCAACCCUGGCGACGAGUGGCGAACGGGUGAGUAAUACAUCGGAACAUAUCCAGUAGCGGGGGAUAACCUAUCGAAAGAUGGACUAAUACCGCAUACGAUCUACGGAUGAAAGCAGGGGACCGCAAGGCCUUGCACUAUUGGAGUGGCCGAUGUCGGAUUAGCUAGUUGGUGGGGUAAAGGCUUACCAAGGCGACGAUCCGUAGCUGGUCUGAGAGGACGAUCAGCCACACUGGAACUGAGACACGGUCCAGACUCCUACGGGAGGCAGCAGUGGGGAAUUUUGGACAAUGGGCGCAAGCCUGAUCCAGCCAUGCCGCGUGAGUGAAGAAGGCCUUCGGGUUGUAAAGCUCUUUCGGUGAAGACGAAACGGUUAGCGCUAAUAACGCUGACUAAUGACGGUACUCACAGAAGAAGCACCGGCUAACUACGUGCCAGCAGCCGCGGUAAUACGUAGGGUGCAGGCGUUAAUCGAAUUACUGGGCGUAAAGCGUGCGCAGGCGGUUUGCUAAGACAGGUGUGAAAUCCCCGGGCUUAACCUGGGAAUUGCGCUUGUAACUGGCAAGCUAGAGUGUGGCAGAGGGGGGUGGAAUUCCACGUGUAGCAGUGAAAUGCGUAGAUAUGUGGAGGAACACCGAUGGCGAAGGCAGCCCCCUGGGUUAACACUGACGCUCAUGCACGAAAGCGUGGGGAGCAAACAGGAUUAGAUACCCUGGUAGUCCACGCCCUAAACUAUGUCAACUAGUUGUCGGGGAAGAAAUUCCUUGGUAACGAAGCUAACGCGUGAAGUUGACCGCCUGGGGAGUACGGCCGCAAGGUUAAAACUCAAAGGAAUUGACGGGGACCCGCGCAAGCGGUGGAUUAUGUGGAUUAAUUCGAUGCAACGCGAAAAACCUUACCUACCCUUGACAUGCUAGGAAGCCCGCAGAGAUGUGGGUGUGCCCGAAAGGGAACCUAGACACAGGUGCUGCAUGGCUGUCGUCAGCUCGUGUCGUGAGAUGUUGGGUUAAGUCCCGCAACGAGCGCAACCCUUGCCAUUAGUUGCUACAUUCAGUUGGGCACUCUAAUGGGACCGCCGGUGACAAACCGGGGGAAGGUGGGGAUGACGUCAAGUCCUCAUGGCCCUUAUGGGUAGGGCUUCACACGUAAUACAAUGGUCGGUACAGAGGGCUGCCAACCCGCAAGGGGGAGCUAAUCCCAGAAAGCCGAUCGUAGUCCGGAUUGUAGUCUGCAACUCGACUGCAUGAAGCCGGAAUCGCUAGUAAUCGCGGAUCAGCAUGUCGCGGUGAAUACGUUCCCGGGUCUUGUACACACCGCCCGUCACACCAUGGGAGUGGGUUCCACCAGAAGUAGUUAGCCUAACCGCAAGGAGGGCGAUUACCACGGUGAGAUUCAUGACUGGGGUGAAGUCGUAACAAGGUA